GGCUGGUCUGAAGGUAGUGAGUUACCUCAAUUGAUUGUUCACAGAUUAAACUCCUUGUUCUACUCUUUCCCCCCUUCUCACUACUGCACUUGACUAGUCUUAA
ensembl:misc_RNA Y_RNA Y RNA